CGGAGGAUCCAAGCGUUAUCCGGAUUUAUUGGGUUUAAAGGGUGCGUAGGCGGCUUAUUAAGUCAGGGGUGAAAGACGGUGGCUCAACCAUCGCAGUGCCCUUGAUACUGAUGAGCUUGAAUGAACUAGAGGUAGGCGGAAUGUGACAAGUAGCGGUGAAAUGCAUAGAUAUGUCACAGAACACCGAUUGCGAAGGCAGCUUACUAUGGUUUUAUCGACGCUGAGGCACGAAAGCGUGGGGAUCAAACAGGAUUAGAUACCCUGGUAGUCCACGCCCUAAACGAUGAAUACUCGCUGUUGGCGAUAUACAGUUAGCGGCUAAGCGAAAGCGUUAAGUAUUCCACCUGGGGAGUACGCCCGCAAGGGUG
rnacentral:rRNA from 1 species